CCCUGCAGGUAGUACACGCACUUUUCCGUUCUUCUAAAUCAUUCCAUCAAAGAUGUUUCGCCAAGCGCUUUCCGUUAGCAAGCGCACAUAUAUGCUUGCUUUCAACAGCAAGGCGAAGGCGCGCCCGAACUUUGGUCUACGUGGCGUCGGCUACUGGACGAGCGAGGUGUACCACAAGCCCGGCCAGAAUUACUGGAUGGUCGUCUGCUGCACCGGCCCGUUCCUACUUGUGGGCGCAAUCAUGAUGGACGGCUUCUGGUCAAAGCUGGAUGAUAUUUCCGGGGGAGGCCCCAGCGCUCUGGAUUACGGGUGGCGUUCCCAGGACCGAAAGCCGUGGGACUUCUCCUUCGAUAUUGGUGAGGGUUACGCUGCUGGUCCGGCCGUUUAUCGUCCGGCCUCUGGUGCGGUCGACCUCGGCCAUCAUUAGGACUUCUGUUGGCUAGAAUUCGGGACUUGUCCAACAAACUCAAAACACGUAGUAGUGUAUUGUAGCACUGUCUUCAUGCAGGUUUGUAGGUGUGCAAGACGUUUGGCUGUGUGCUGACUGGCCUUCGUGCUUUUCAUGUUUUUUUUUUCUGGAUUUUAUACUAGGACCCGCCAGAGAAAUGAAAUCAAAAUUGAAGAGCGUGGCAGGGCUGUGCGCAUCUCUGCCAUCCGCUAUAAUCGCGCUUUUUCCGUGGUAGGGUGUUCUCGGUAAGGGAUUGCUUUGUUUUAUUAUUCCCAGGAUUCUGCCACACUGAGUGGACUUGUGGCAAGAGUUCCGCUUCUAGCAGAGGCGUGGAAGGCUCAAAGUAUGCUGAUAGUCAUGUGUUCCCUUGCAGGGACGUGCACUGGCAAACCUUCGCGUUUUAGGGAUGAAUGUGGUGUGUGUUCGUUGCUUGCUGCCCUACUUCUGUGCUUCUUCCCCCCUUUUUUCACGGUUUCGGUUCUUGCAG
rnacentral:misc_RNA from 1 species